rnacentral:rRNA from 1 species
UGGGGAAUAUUGCACAAUGGGGAAGACCCUGAUGCAGCGACGCCGCGUGAGCGAAGAAGUAUUUCGGUAUGUAAAGCUCUAUCAGCAGGGAAGAAAAUGACGGUACCUGACUAAGAAGCCCCGGCUAACUACGUGCCAGCAGCCCGCGGUAAUACGUAGGGGCGAAGCGUUAUCCGGAUUUACUGGGUGUAAAGGGAGCGCAGGCGGUCUUGCAAGUCUGAUGUGAAAGCCCGCGGCUCAACUGCGGGACUGCAUUGGAAACUGUGGGACUUGAGUGUCGGAGGGGCAAGUGGAAUUCCUAGUGUAGGGUGAAAUGCGUAGAUAUUAGGAGGAACACCAGUGGCGAAGGCGGCUUGCUGGACGACAACUGACGCUGAGGCUCGAAAGCGUGGGGAGCAAACAGGAUUAGAUACCC